rnacentral:lncRNA from 1 species
GUGCAACAUUUUCUCCUCCAGGGUAUGGGGCAGAACCCCUUCUGAAAUGGUGGUUUCAUGACUUAUAAUCAGACAAGGCCUUCAAAAAAGUAUAUUCAACACUGCAAGUCCUAAAAGAAGAAAAGCUUAUGAUUUUCCUACUGAUUUCAGUAGUUCUCUACUUGGGGAUAAUUUCCCAAUUAUGACUCAUUGAGUUGAAAUCCAACAGAUCAUGGCAUCCCCUCUAAGAUGCCAAAGAACAAAAGAACAACAACAACAACAACAACAAAAAAAAAACCAGAGAACAGAAACCUGAAGAGAUAACAAAGAAAGGCCUGGGAUGGAGUUUCAUAUUGGAGUCCAUAUGGGACUAGCUGGGAGUCCAUGUCUAAGAGCUGAGCUGCUUGUCAUCAGGUUGUGAUUACCUGAGACUUACCAGAGAGCUGUUUCGACAAGGUUCAGAACAGAACACAGAGACUUGAAAUUAAACAGCACUGAUGCAAUUUGGAGAUUUGGCCUCAAUUAAGUCGAGAAAUGUUAUUAAUGCCUUAUUAACGCUUGAACAUCCAGCUAAGGUACCACAAAAGCCAUAGAAGUAAAGACCUACCUAGACUAAGGUUUAUUCAAGACCUGUUGAAACAAAGCCUACAACCAAACUCUGACAAGUUCUGCAUGAGAGUAUAGCCCUGAAGUUGUGUUUCAAGAAGCAGCCAAGAAAGACAUGACCACUAUAAGAAUGCUGUAUCAUAGGUGGGAUCCUGGAGUGGAAAAAGGUUAGAAACAAACAAAGAAAAUCUGAAUAAACUGUGGACUUUUAAAUUAAAAA